AGAAUCAACGCUGGCGGCGUGCCUAACACAUGCAAGUCGAACGAGAAAGUGGAGCAAUCCAUGAGUAAAGUGGCGCACGGGUGAGUAACACGUGACUAACCUACCUUUUAGUGGGGGAUAACCUAGGGAAACCUGGGCUAAUACCGCAUAACACUUACGAGUCAAAGCAGCAAUGCGCUGAAAGAGGGGGUCGCGGCCGAUUAGCUAGUUGGCGGGGUAAUGGCCCACCAAGGCAGUGAUCGGUAUCCGGCCUGAGAGGGCGCACGGACACACUGGAACUGAAACACGGUCCAGACUCCUACGGGAGGCAGCAGUGGGGAAUUUGCGCAAUGGGGGAAACCCUGACGCAGCAACGCCGCGUGGAGGAUGAAGUCCCUUGGGACGUAAACUCCUUUCGAUCGGGACGAUAAUGACGGUACCGAAGAAGAAGCCCGGCUAACUCGCGCCAGCAGCCGC
rnacentral:rRNA from 1 species